rnacentral:rRNA from 1 species
AUUGAACGCUUGCGGCAGGCUUAACACAUGCAAGUCGAACGAGUGGCGGACGGGUGAGUAAUGUCUGGGAAACUGGCUUAUGGAGGGGGCUAACUACUGGUAACGGUAGCUAAUACCGCCUACCAUAGGAUGAGCCCAAGUGGGAUUAGGUAGUUGGUGGGGUAAAGGCCUCCCAAGCCGCCGAUCUCUAGCUGGUCUGAGAGGAUGACCAGCCACACUGGGACGGAGACAUGGUCCAGACUCCUACGGGAAGCAGAAGUGGGGAAUAUUGGACAAUGGGGGAAACCCUGAAGCAGCCAUGCCGCGUGAAUGAAGAAGGCCUUCGGGUUGUAAAGUUCUUUCAGUAGGGGGGCGUUAACUGCAGAAGAAGCACCGGCUAACUCCGUGCCAGCCGCCGCGGUAAGAC